GACUUCUCCAUCAGCCGUCUGUGUCAUUUUCUUCUUCACUUUCACUUUCUUCAACAGGACAAAAAGUCUUGCUUCCAUUCCACAACAUGAGACAUUCCCUACUCACGUAUUACAAAUCCAACACGUUAGGAAAAAAAUCAUUUAAACUAUGAAUCCAAUGAAUAAGAAAAAAAAAAUCAUUUGUGUCAGAAACUUACAGAUAUAGUAGAAAUCUUCCGGCCUGGAAAACGAAGUGCUCAUCAGGCACUCGAACCUGAACAAACAGCAUUUUGUUAGGAGAAUAAUUUGUAGAACAAAAUGAAUCUCAAGAUGGUUGAAACUUAAUUUGUCCAAAUAUCUUACAAAUUUCCAACCCAAAUGCAACAUGCAUCGGGAGCACCUAGCUUCAGCAGCCGUGCAAAUACCGGCUAUUAUGUGACGCCUUGGGUUGUCCUCAACUUCCACAUUGACACUACAAAACACAGGAUUUGACAAAAGAGAUCAAUACGUUUUAAAGUACCUUGGGAUUAAAGGACCAAAUUUGCAAUUGUAUGAUUGAUUUUGUUUUGGAAUGGUCUACAUACAUAUUAUUGGAUUUGGCUUCAACUUCCUGUUGAAUUUGGAUUCAAAGUCCUAGUUGGCUUUGGCUUUGAAUUCGAAUUCAAACUCUCAGUUUAUAAAAGGACUUCUUGUGAAAGUCCCAAAAAUAACACAAGAGAUGAUGUAGAGAGAGAGAGAGAGUGUGAGGGAGGUGGUAGUUGCCCUGUCACCACCAAACCACUAGUGAGAGAGUGAGAUAUAAUAUGUCUUGUAAUCUGUAAAUCUUUCUUAAAUAGUGAAUCUGUUGCAUACGAGGACGUAAGCAAUUUUGUCAAACCUCGUAAAUCAUUGUAUCUUUGUGUGUGUGUGAUGGAGUGAAUCGAUUUUAAACACAACAAUUGGUAUCAGAGACAUGGUCGAGUUUCGGACUUUGGCAAAAGUACUCUAAAUCAAUUUCUAAUUGCACCAACUUGUUCAUCUCCUUGAGAAAAAGCCCUUGAAGUCAACCUCAUUGCAACCCGAUGUCGAACGGACCUUCACGUGCCUCCUGAGUGUUCGAGCGUCAAUUUCACACUCACCACGCGCCCACAUGCUCCACCUGGAACAUCGACGCCUCAAAUCAGCAUGACCAUGCGCCCUUACGCGCCUCCCUUGUUUUGGCGCGUGACAACCAGUGACUUCACGCGACGCACAUGCCGAGUAGAGGUAGACGACGAGUGGUCUCACUCCUUCCAUGCGAGCACGCUCCCACACAGACACACGAUCCUAUUUCACGAGCACAUUGGUUCACGUGCUACAUCAUCAGCCGGCGCCGUGUCAUUGACUCUGUCAGCAACCCAGUUAGCGCUCUGUCAGCAUCCGGUCAGCACUCUGUCAGCAACCCAGACAGCGCUUUGUCAGUGUUCAGUCGUCAACAAAUCAAUGCUUUGUCAACACCUCGUUAGCGACUUUGUCAGCGCCUCGUCAGCAAUAGAAUAUUUUAAGAAUAUUCCUCAGUUUGGGAAAAUUACAUAUAUGUUCCUGAAGUUUGAAAAUAUUACAGUUCAAAAUUACAUAUAUGUCCCUAAAGUUUGAAAAUAUUAUAGUUUAGUCCUUGACUUUUAUAAAAAUUAUAUUUUGGUCCCAAAGGUUUGUAAAAAUUGCAAUUGGGCCCCUAAAGUUUUAAAAAAUUACAUAUUGGCCUUGAUAUUUUUUAAAAUUACAGUUUGCUCCCAUUAUUUUUAAAAAUUAUAGUUUGAUCCUGGUAAAAAUUAUAAUUUGGUGCCUAGAGUUUCUAAUUUUAACAAUUUAGUCCCAAAAGUUUAUAUUUUUUCCAAUUUAGCCCUCCUUAAGGUUUUCUUGCAUUCCAGAGUCAUCCGUGUGGUCAGAAUUUUGCAUAUUUUGAUCCCAUAUUAGUUUUGGUGGAGUUUAUUUUAGUGCUCUAGAAAAAGGGGAUAUGACACAACAAUAGUCAGCAUGGUGGUACGAGAAGGCUCUCAUAAUAGAGAUCUCAUAUUUGACUAUUUGCAUUUAUGGGAAGACUCUCCGAAUAAGGAUCGUAGAUUUGGUUAUAGUAUUUGUGAUGAAGGCUUUCUGAGUAGGAAUCUCAUAUCUGGCACCAACAUCUGUGAGAAGGCUCUCAGUUUGGUAUUUCUGUUGUUUGGAUCACUUGGUUUUAGUUCAAUAUGUCUCGAACAUUUGUGAUUCAUUCUUGGUUUAUCUUAGUUUGUUUGGAUCACUUGAUUUUGAUUCAAUAUGUCUCGAACAUUUGUGAUUCAUUUUUGAUUUAUUUCAGUUUGUUUAGAUCACUUGGUUUUGGUUCGAUGUGUCUCGAACAUUUAUGAUUCAUUGAAGUCAGGAGAUUUUGGCAAGGUGGAGCUUCACAAGUGUCAAGAAGAUCAUGACUUUGAGUCAAGUUUCUACUGCUUUACCUUGACCAAUAUCUAGCGUCGAAAGGUGCAUCAGUAGCAGCAUUAUUCUCUUUGGCAGAAGUUUUCGCUAAUGUGGAGAUUGUUGGAUUUGACUUCAAACUUCCUGUUGGAUUUUGAUUCAAAGUCCUAGUUAGAUUUGGAUUCAAACUCUCAGCCUAUAAAAUAACUUCUAGUGAAAGUCCAAAAAAACAACACAAGAGAAGAUGUAGAGUAAGGCAGAGAGAGUGUGAGGGAGAUGGUGGUUGCUCUGCCACCACCAGACCACCAAUGAGAGAAUGAGAUACAAUGUCUUAUAAUUUGUAAAUCUCAAAUAGUGAAUCUCUUGCAUAUGAAGACGUAGGUAAUUUUGUCGAACUUCAUAAAUCAUUGUGUAUAUGUGUGCGUGUGUGACGGUGUGAAUCGAUAUCGAGCACAACACAUACAUACAUACAUACAUACAUGUAUGUAUAUGUAUAUAUACAUCAACAGCUAGUGCUAAUCUUUAAUCAGAAUUUGAAACCGCGACUGCCCUCCAAAGAAGUCUUGGAAAAUGGAAUUGAGGGUGAGAUCUUACGCGUUGCUGAAGAUGACUCCCACGUUCAUUACGUCCUGGAAAAGCAGAUUGAGAACAGCAAUGAGGAACACACAUAAUUUUUUUUAUUUUUUAUUUUUUGCUUGAUGGGAUUUGUAACUAAAGUAAAAGAAUCCAAGUGAAUCAUAAUAAAGAAUAACAACCCAAGUAAACGCACUCAUUGCAAAAUCAAGAAUUAUUGUAACUGCAUUCAUUGGAAACCAAUCAUUGCACAAUCAAGAAUUAUGAUAACGAACUGUAUAUGAUCAAGAAAUUUCACUUGCAAUUGUAAUGUUCUUCAUUUCUUGAAAAAAUCAUUAAAACACUAGAACUAAAUAAACACAGACCCAUCGUUGUGAUGCAUAAAGGGAAUAUCAAGAACCCUGACCUCUAAAAAUCGAGAAUCAGAAAAAUUAUGAAGAUGUAAUCUUUGUUCAGUUCAAUUGAAAAUUCUCCAAUAACAUGAUCAAAAACCCUAGUAACGAAACAAUCAAAGCAUCCACAUCGAAACAACUUUAACAACAGAGACAUCCAAUUCUUGCAACUUUAAAUAGCACGAUGAUAAUUCUCGGUAAUUUACACAAAUCGAUGCAGAGAGAGAGAGAGAGAGAGAGAGAGAGAGAGCAUACGAUGAGAAGGUGCUCUUCGUCGAGGGCAAUGUGGGCUCUGCAUUGACGGCAGAGGAAGAAGUGGACGUCUGGAUUUUUAUCGAAUUCAAUCAUUGUUCAAGCUCUUUCUUUAUCAAUCAAACAGCUUUCAAUUUUCUGACAAUUCAAAGGACUGAAAAUUUACUUUGGAAAGAUUGAGAUAUAGAGGAUGAGACAAAAAUUAAUGAAUGACAGUUACCUAGACAGAGUAUGGAAUGGGCGGCUGAUGACUCAGGUUCUUGAACUGGGUUUGGGAAUAUAUGAGAGAGAGAGGUGGUGAAAAACUUUUGCAGUGACUCAGUAUAUAUACAAACGGGAGGAAAGAAUAGCUGGCUGAGAGAGAGAGAGAGACAGCAGGCUUCGUUUAACUGCCAAAAUGACAGUUAGGGUGCAGAGGAUUUGGUACAGAGCGAACCAUAAUUGCUAACCUGUAGCCGCAAGUGGACUAUAAUUGUUAACCCGUAGCCUUCAAACGAAUAAGUUUGCCACAUUAGCCCUUCCGUAUAAUUUUCCUUCGAGAGUAUGAAACAUGGCGCCGUACACUCUUCCCCAACCUAGAUCUUACAAUUCCCUUCCUUACUUUCCCCUUACCCGCCAUCAACCAACCAUCAUGACCUCAUCCCCACUAUUCAAUUCAACCACUGUCGUUUUUCGACCAAGCUAGCUACGUAACCUUCUAGCAACCUAGGGCUUCAAUCUAUUUGCGUUUGCCACACACAGGAACGCACAUAAAAAUUAAAUAAAAAAACUAGAGCUUUAUGUAAACACUCCUCAACCCAGCCCCCGGCGAAUCAUUUUGUGUUGGUGAAGAUGUGAUGUUGCCAACGGCUUUGAUUGGGUGAUGACAAAGGCGACAAGACUCUGUGCGUGUCUGAGAGAGAGAGAGAGAGAGUGGGUGGGUGUGAAGUGUAUUAUGGUUGUUGUUGGCUGGUAAUUUCCUUUUGGGGGUGGGGGGGGGUGGGGGGAUGGGCAAGUGAAGGCCUUGAGAGGAGGGAUUUCAGGGUGGGAUUUCAUCAAUGGUAAAUGUUGAUAUUGGCUCACUUCUCAGGCCCAAGACCAACCUCCAUGCUCAGGUCCAAGCCGCCAGGCUCAAGCCCAAGCCCAAGCCAAACACUGAUACCUUCCUUAUGCUCCUCCUAGAUUGAUGGAAUGAGAGAUUAGACUUUUUCCACCUACUCCCACCCACCCCCUCCCAGUUGUGGUCUCCCUCGUGAUUAUGUCUAUUCCCUUUAUUAUUUCUUGUCCCCUUAAAGGGCAAGUUGUCUAUUUGUUGCUGCUGAGAGCAGCGAGAAUUGAGGGAGAAGAGCUGAAAGCUAAGAAAGAGAGGCAGUAAAAGAGGAAAAAGAAAACAAACUGCCAAGCUGUGGAAAUGUCAAUCUUGAGGGCUGUGGAAAAUUAGCUGUGGAAAAUUAGGCAAUCUUUGUUCUCUAUAAGAAGCUGCUGCUGAGGAAGAAAAGGGAAAGAAAGGCAGCAGUGAAGCCAGAGAAGCAGAGGGGGCUGCUAUCUGUGCUUUCUCCUCUCUCUCUCUCUCUUCUCUCUCUCUCUAAAAUAUAUGGGAGAUGUAGAGUUAGGCAGAUAGAGUGUGAGGAGUGGUGGUGGCUCUACCACCAGUGAGGAGAUAUAUAUCUGUAUUUAGAUUUCUCAGUACAGUGAAAUCUCUGCCAGCCGAGACGUAUGCGAUUUGCAGAUAAGAGUGUGAGGGAUGGUUAUGAUCCCGUUGGCGCUGCCAGCAUCCCAGUCAUCAGCCUUGUUAGCACCCAACCCCAUGACAUGUCAUCCCAGUUAAUUAGGAAAAGGUACGUGGGCGUCGGUGGCUGGUGGAUGCCUCUGGUAAUUGGCGGCGGUGGUUGUGGUGGUUGGUGGUGGGGAAUUAUUUGUUUAAGGACAAAAGUGAGAGUCAAUCAAUACUCUUAAUAUGCAAAUUGUGAUUAACCCUAAUCCAUACUAGUACUAUAAUAAUCUUCUUAUGAAAAUUACCUCGUUUGAUAUAAUUACCUCGUUUCAACUGCCAGGAUGACCCUCUCUAAUAUAGAAGUAAUUUGUUGUUGUUGUGGGGGAUUUGGUACAGAGCGGACCACAACUGUUAACCUGUAGCCGCAAGCGGAAUUAGACCCGCUCUUCUCUCUUUUUCCCUUCUUAUUCUUCUCUCUCUCUCUCUCUCCUCUCUCUCUCUUCUUUUCGUUUAUUUUUGUCAAGCGAUUGGACAAAAUAGGAAAAAAAGGGUAAUUUUAUAACAAAUAAUUACAGUUUUUUCCUUAAGGGCUUCUUUGACCGGAAUAUGGAGGGGAGACCUUUUAACUUGUUUGGAUACUUUUUUUUAGAAUGAGUGAAUAAGGUGGGGAUAAAGAAUAAAAUAUAUAUAAGAAACACAAUAUUAAAUAUUUAAAUAUUAAAAUUAUAAUCUUUUAUUUCUCUCUAUAUAUUAAUGUACAUUUUGUUUUCUCUUUAAUAUAUUUUUUCUUAUCCUCCACCCCUUACCCCCGGAUAAUUUUAUUUUAGGGUAUAGGCCACCCAAAAAUUACCUCUCUAUCCAUCUCCUGAGGUAUAAAUUAUCCGUUUCUAUAUUCUCAGCCAACGCCGAGAAAAAAUUAUCCGGGAAAAAUUUCUCCCCUUCAAUCGAAUAGCCAAACGACCUCUAAGUGGAUACCUAGAAUCUGCCCCCCCUUUGAGUCACCGAUUCCCUUUGACCUUCAACAAGUUUGCCACAUUGAGUGUUUGCAAUUCGGUGGGCAAUCACCCACCUCCGUAUAACUAUAUUUACUAGUCACUUUUUUUUUUUACUCACUUCAUCAUUUAUGUAUUUUUAAUUCUAUUAUAAUUCAUUUCUAUUUCUCUAAUGAUCUAUUUUUUUCCAAAGACCCUACCUAAAUGAUUUUUUUUUAAAUUAUAUAUAAAAAGUAUUUCCCUACUCCCUCUCGCAUAAGAUCGAAAAAAUAUACAAUUUUUAAUAAAAAAGUUUAAUUAAAGACAAAAACUCAAGAAAUUAAAAAUCAAAAAGACAAUAAUCCAGAACUUUGACCUAAUCACCAUUUUAUCUAAAAAUUAAUCAUGACGUAAGUUUUUAACUAUCACCUGAUUUUCGUUCUUUGAUAUCAUUACAAUUAAAGAUACGAAAAUGUACUUGAAUAAUGGUCCUUACGCUGACCUUUAAAACAAAUUAGGCUGUAUUUGGUUUGAAGGAAUGGUCAUUUCAUUGUAGUAAUCAUUCUAGUGUUGGGUUGAUCAAAAAAUAAUAAAAUAGUCAUUCGAUUUAGAAUGAUUAUUAUCAGCACAUAUGAAUAACUAUAAUAACAGAAUGUCCAUUUUAUUUCCAUCUCAUUCUAUUUCUUACAAAAUAAAAAUGAAUAUUCUUAUAUCAUUUUAUUCUAAUUCCAUACAAAAUUCAUUUCAUCCAAUUAAACACAAUUUUCAUGCAAGACCAAAACAGUAACUCACAUAUGAUUAUGAACACAACCACAUCUUCUAUAACUUCUACAUAUUAUUUGAAAGUAAAAGUAACGAUGACCAUGGAUUCAAUACUUCUAAGCCCAAAUCACACAUUUUCAAAUUUAUUACGGUUACUCUGCAUCAACAAUUUGGUUUCCAUUCCACAGGUUGAGCUUAGGCCUGUUAAACAAGAUCGUUUGAAAUAAGUGUCAUGAUAUAUAAACAGCAGUAAAAAUAUUGGCUAGAGUUAUGUUAAAAAAAAAAAAAGACUUACAGAUGUAGAAGGAAAUCUCCCUCUCUCAUCUCACCAUUGCUCGGGCAUUCCAUCUGAAAAAAAUAGGGUUUCUUAAAGGGAGUUGUUUUAAGAAAGAUAAUGUAAGGAAUUUCAGAAUUUGGAGAAUUUGAUAGUCUUACGAUUUUUACACCCAAUCGCUCACCGCAGUUGUUACAGUAAACAUCCGACACUUUGUGAUCAUUUCCAGCCUUUCGAUCUUGCUCUGGACUGAGCGUGUGAACAUUGGCGGCACUGCAUGUGAGAGAAACAUUUUUUUGGUGAAAGUUGAAUUAUUUCAAUUGCAAUAGACCCAUCAUUUUGUUUGAGAAGCAUGAACAAUUAAUCAACAAUGGCUACAAAAUUUCUUAAAAAUAAAAAGAAGGGUUAAUUUCACUUUUAAUCCUUUGAGUUUGACUCAAGUUUCACGAACUAUAAGGACUAAAGUGAAACUUGGGUUAAACUCUAAGGAUAAAAGUGAAAUUGACCCAUUAAUCAAUUAUGCUUAACUUAUCUGGAGAAAAUUACAAAAUAACAAAUUAAAUUCUAUAAUUUUAAUUGUAAUAAAUUAAAUCUUUGAGUUUCGAUCAUUUGGUUAUAACUAAAAUUGAUCCAAUUAGAGUUAUUUUUAAGUUAAAUAUUCAAGAUAUUUUUUUAAAGUUUUGCUUGAAAAUGAGUCUUAAUUGAAUCGAUUAGGACUUUUAAAGGUGAUAACGUUGAAAAUAUCAUAUUUUUAAUUUUUUGGAAAUAAUCAAUUGAUUCCACUCUAAUGAAAUAAAAACUAACAGAGGAUUUAAUUGUGAUUAAAUCAAAAAUUAGAGUUUAAUAAUUAUAAUUAAAAAAUAUAGGAACUUAAUUUGUUAUCAAGAUCAAACACUAGUUCUGGUUUUUUGUAAUUCUCCACUUAUCUAUUAAAAUUAUAAUUUUAUAAAUAAAAAAAAAAACAGUAUCCAAACAAGCUAAUUUAACAGUUUUGAGUACUUACACAUUUGAAAGAUGCAUCCGAACAACUCAGGUUCCUCCUGAAUAUCAAAUAAGGUAUAUAAGUAGUGACAACAAACAAAACAUAGAAGCAAGUACGAUUCACUAAAAAACAAAACACAAUCGAGAAAAUUUAUCUUGAGAUUUUAUAUGUGUGUGUAUAUAUAAUUGACCAAAAAGUAAAAAUAAAAUAAAAAUGAAAUGAAAACUGACUAAGAAAAAAAUUAGGAAGAUAAAAAUAUAAUCGUUUAAAAGUUUGUACUUCCAAUUAUCAUCAAAAAAUUUAAAAUAUCUAAAAUAAAAAGCUAAAAUUAUAUCUGCAAAACCUUAUUACAUGUUUACACAGUACAAGCUAGGCACUUUAGGAAUGAAACAAUAUAAUUCAUAAAUAUUGAUUGCUUGACUAUAAAAAAAACUCAAAUAAGAAGAAAAAAUAUUACAACAAUAUAUAUUUAAAUAUAAUAUAAAAAAUUAUACCAUCAUAACUCAAAUGAUAAAUUUAUCACAAUAAUAUACAUUUUAAUAUAAGUUAUGAAUUAUCAAAUAAUUAUCUAUAUGAUAAUUUUAUUUGCAUUGAUAUACGUUUAAAAUCUAAAUUAAGAAUUAUUCCAAUAUAAAAUACACACAAAAAAUAUUAAUAUUUAUUGAUUGACAUGAGAUGGGAUGGGAUAUGGGCGGGGAGGGGUGGGCCCUUGGGGAUUGACUUGUUUUUCUUAUUUUACACGCAUAAUGACACACGUGUAAGGGCAUAUUCGGAAUUUUGAUGGAACAGGGAUGAAGAGCCAGUAUGGUAGGCUCCGUUUGGUAAUGCUUAAAAGUCAAGUUUUUUUUAAGUUAGUUAUAAAAUGUCAAGAAUUUUUGACUUUUUUGUUUUUGUAACUUUACUUUAACUAAAAUUAAGCAAAAAAGAAAAAACGAAGAAACAAAAAAAGCCAAUUCUGAUUGACUUUUUAUUUAUUUUAAGCCAAAAAAUUCAAAAAAAAAAUUAAAAAAAAUUAGUGCCAAACGAAGCCUCCUGUCGCUUAUGUUUUGGACACACAUGGGACAACAGAUGAGUCAUAAGCUUGGGAACAUAAGGAUAAAAGUUGAAUAUAUAUAUUAUAUACUUUCAAUUGGGACACUUUAGAAAGUUCAAAGUUGAAAACAUAUGUCUAACCACAUAUAUAUACUUUCAAUCUGGGACUCUCUCUCAAGUUCAAAGUUGAAAACAUAUGUCUAACAUAAAUAAACAAAAAUUGAAUGAAAACUGAAAAAAAAAAUUAGAAAGAUAAAGAUUGAAUAAUUUUAAAGUUUGUAUUUUCUAAAAUUACCAUUCAAAAAAAAAAAGCUAGGCACUUUAGGAAUGAACAAUAGAUCACUUGACUUUAUUUUGUUUGAAAAAAAGAAUAAAUAAUUUUUAUGAAAUGCAUCCUAGAGAGAGAAGUAGAGAAGAAAAUUUAAAUAUAAAAAAGAAUAUAUAGAGAGAAGAAAAUGGAUUACGAUGGGAUGUGACUACGAACCUUGAUCAUAUUUAAUUCAAUUAUAUUGAACUCAUUACUUUUUCAUCCGUAUUCAACUCGUCUGUGCUCAACUCAAAACCGACUUUAACCCGGCCCAAAACUCGUCCGUGCUCAACUCAAAUCCAACUUUAACCCGCCCCCAAAACCACCAUUUGCAACCUCCAUUAAACCAAAGAGCAAAGCUGCAUAUCUUUUAGACAGUAUUAAAAAGGGUCCCAACUCUUAAUUUCGUUACUCCAAACUCCGCCGGAACCAAACUCCGGCACAGUUCCGGUCAAACUCCGGCAGGCUUUGGAGCAUCAACAAAUGUGUGAAAAGCUGCAUAUCUUUUAGCAACAGUAUUAAAAAGAGUCCCAACUCUUAAUUUCGUUACUCCAAACUCCGGCAGUAGCCAUUGCCAAAGUCCGGCGGGCAUUGGAGCAGCAACAAAUUUGUGAAAAGCUGCAUAUCUUUUAGCAACAUGGAAUCCAAGAGCUGAAUUUAGCGAAUAUCUCAUCAGUUUAAGCUCAACAACUAUUGUAUCGCCACCUUACACAACGUAUAAUGAGGGCACACAUACAAAGAACAAUACCAAUAACUCAUAAAAAAACUGAAACAAUUCAAAUGGGUAGAGAGAGAGAGAGAGAGAGCAUACACUGAAUGAAGUAUACUGAUAGUCUCUUUGCAAGACAAUGUGAGUUCCGCAUUUACAGAGGUAGAAUUGAUUAUCAGGUGUUUGGUCGAAUUUGGUGGGUGUAAAGGGCAAUCCCAUAUUUGCAAUCCUGAUCAAACAAAAGGAUCCAAAUUUUGUUAUUUGAAUUAUGAAUCGAGCUCAAGAAAACACUUGUAACGAUUGCCAAAGUAGACUGUACAAGAAGAAAGCAUGAGAGAGAGAGAGAGGAGAGAGAGAGAGAGAGAGAGAGAGAGGAUAUAUAUAUAUAUAUAUAUAUAUGCAAGGUUCAGGAGUGGGUGGGCCCUUGCUUUCUUGAGAAUUUUUUUAUAAAAAGAAUCUUGAGAAUUUUGUCCUUGGCGUGCUUUUUCUAGAAUGACUUUGGGUAAAACCCAUUUUAAAAAAGUCCUUGCUUUCACUGAAUAUGCCAAGAGUUUGGUGACCUUCUCAAAAUUAGUGUGGCCUCCCUUGGGUUGAUAAUUGUAUUGUAACUUUCCUUCCGUUAGUUGACCACUAAUAAGUCGACUAAAAUAUUAAUUAUGUCAGUAGGCAAUUUUUUAAAUGGAAAUCCGAUUUUAACCCUCAACCAUAUCCAUCUCUCACCAUUAAAAAAUUCAAUUAUAACCAUUCCCACCAUUAAUUAAUUUUUCUUUGGAUGCAAUCCAAUCCAUUCGCAGUCUUCCAAUGAAAUAUGCAAAGAAAUUUGAUGUCCUCGUGUGCCUUUGCCGCGUGACCAAGUAUUUUGUACUCGUUUUGAGUCCAUUUUAAAGAUUCAAAUCAUUUAUAUUAUAGAUUUUAUUACAUUGAUCUAUAAUAUCAUAAAAAAAUUUAAUACUAUAAAAAAUCAAAUUAAUCUAAUAUAGAUUAAUGAUAGAUCAAUAUCAAUUUAAAUCACAAGUAUAAUCUUGUGUGUCGUGCUUAUUUAAUAAAUUAUAAAAGAGAUCUGAAUUAAUAUUGAACUGUGUUUAAUUAAUAUAGUUAUUUAAAGUACUAAUAUUUAUAAAUAAAUUUAUAAUAUAAAUAUUUAAAUCAUUAAAAUAAGCCAUCCGUACUCCAACCUCUUACAUAUAUACGUUAUUCUAAAGUUGUCAGUAUAUUCAGAGAUUCGGAACCUGAAAUGCAUAACCAUUUUUUCUUCUGUUAUUCAGUUUCCCAUGUCAGUAAAUCAAUAAGCCAACCAAACAAAACAAGAGAAUAUUCAUGCGAGAAUUUAAAAAAGAUCGGUACUGUAUACAGUCAAAUAAAAAUUAAAUAUGUAAAUGCAAAAAAACAAAAAAAUUUAUUUACAAAAAUAUUUUUUGAAGUAACAACAUUUUUGAAAUUCUCUAAAUAUUUUUUGAAAUGAAGAUGAACCAAAUUCGCUCUGUAUUUCCAAAGGUAGUAAAAAUAAGAGAAAUAUCAACAAAAAAAAAAUGAAAAAAUUGCAUUUUCGAGGCCUAAACGGUAAAAUUUGUUCAAAAUUCGAUCUUAGUCACGACAAAGCGAUGAGUUUUGCUAGUUGUGCCGUUUUUCAUCAAACUAAAGCCUUUCAGUCCAAUUUAGAUAACGUCGGCCUAAACCCAAAUCUAUCCCGUUGCUCCAUAUAAGCAACAACUAUACUAUCAGCAUCACAUUCACUACGUUGAAUUAUAUAUCCAGCCAUUAUAUAAAGUAUCGGUUUUGAUUACUGUAGAUUGUCCAAUGACACACCAGGAACUUUCAUCCACUUGCCAUUAACGCCUUCCCCCUCUCUCACACACGCUCAAACUUCUCACUUCACUCUCACUGGGACUCAAAACCUCUUCAUUCCAUUAAGUAGGAAGAUAACACAUGGUUAACUUAAAAAAGAAUUGAUGAGAUUAGUUAAUUUCACUGGGUGUUUAUUAACUAAUCAAAUUAAUUAAUAUUAUUUAUUAUUAUUUCUUAAAACUAACAAAAGGAUUCAGAGAUUAUUAUAAUUAUUUUUUUAAUCAAUAAUUUUAAAAAAAACGAACUUAUGGAAUCAAAACUAACAUGGAGUCAAAAAAAUAAAUAAAUUAACAGAUGGCAUAAAAAUUAAAAAAUAAUUU
rnacentral:lncRNA from 1 species